ACGACAGUGCGAUAGGGGGACACCGAGUGCGAGGGCAUAGAGCCCUCGCUUUUGUAGACCGUAAGGAGGUCUACGAAUAAGGGCUGGGCAAGACCGGUGCCAGCCGCCGCGGUAACACCGGCAGCCCAAGUGAUGGCCGAUAUUAUUGGGCCUSCGCAAAGCGUCCGUAGCUGGCCGCGCAAGUUCGUCGGGSCGCAAAUCCACUCGCUUAACGAGUGGGCGUCCGGCGSCGCAAAACUGUGCGGCUUGGGACCGGAAGAUCCAAGGGGUACGUCCGGGGUAGGAGUGSCGCAAAUCCCGUAAUCCUGGACGGACCACCGAUGGCGSCGCAAAGCACCUUGGAAGGACGGAUCCGACAGUGAGGGACGSCGCAAAGCUAGGGUCUCGAACCGGAUUAGAUACCCGGGUAGUCCUAGCCGUSCGCAAACGAUGCUCGCUAGGUGUGGCGCAGGCUACGAGCCUGCGCUGUGCCGUAGGGAAGCCGUGAAGCGAGCCGCCUGGGAAGUACGUCUGCAAGG
rnacentral:rRNA from 1 species